rnacentral:rRNA from 1 species
CGUGGGCCCCUUACCGGGGUUGCGGACAGUGUCUGGUGGGUAGUUUGACUGGGGCGGUCUCCUCCUAAAGAGUAACGGAGGAGCACGAAGGUUGGCUAAUCCUGGUCGGACAUCAGGAGGUUAGUGCAAUGGCAUAAGCCAGCUUGACUGCGAGCGUGACGGCGCGAGCAGGUGCGAAAGCAGGUCAUAGUGAUCCGGUGGUUCUGAAUGGAAGGGCCAUCGCUCAACGGAUAAAAGGUACUCCGGGGAUAACAGGCUGAUACCGCCCAAGAGUUCAUAUCGACGGCGGUGUUUGGCACCUCGAUGUCGGCUCAUCACAUCCUGGGGCUGAAGUAGGUCCCAAGGGUAUGGCUGUUCGCCAUUUAAAGUGGUACGCGAGCUGGGUUUAGAACGUCGUGAGACAGUUCGGUCCCUAUCUGCCGUGGGCGCUGGAGAACUGAGGGGAGCUGCUCCUAGUACGAGAGGACCGGAGUGGACGCAUCACUGGUGUUCGGGUUGUCAUGCCAAUGGCACUGCCCGGUAGCUAAAUGCGGAAGAGAUAAGUGCUGAAAGCAUCUAAGCACGAAACUUGCCCCGAGAUGAGUUCUCCCUGAGACUUAGAGUCUCCUGAAGGAACGUUGAAGACGACGACGUUGAUAGGCCGGGUGUGUAAGCGCAGCGAUGCGUUGAGCUAACCGGUACUAAUGAACCGU